GAUGAACGCUGGCGGCGUGCUUAAUACAUGCAAGUCGAACGGAGACGUUAUAGCAAUAUGAUGUCUUAGUGGCGAACGGGUGAGUAACGCGUUGGUGACCUGCCCCGAAGUGGGGGAUAACAGCUCGAAAGGGCUGCUAAUACCCCAUGUGGUCGCAAAGGUUAGAGGCUUUGCGAUUAAAGGAGUAAUCCGCUUUGGGAGGGGCCUGCGUCCCAUCAGCUAGUUGGUAGGGUAAAAGCCUACCAAGGCGACGACGGGUAGGGGGCCUGAGAGGGUGACCCCCCACACUGGCACUGAAACACGGGCCAGACACCUACGGGUGGCAGCAGUAGGGAAUAUUGCACAAUGGGCGAAAGCCUGAUGCAGCAACGCCGCGUGCGCGAUGAAGGCCUUCGGGUCGUAAAGCGCUUUUCGGGGAGAUGAGGAAGGACAGUAUCCCCGGAAUAAGGUUCGGCUAACCACGUGCCAGCCGCCGCCGUAAAAC
rnacentral:rRNA from 1 species